CUCUGCCUCGCCGCUUGGAAAGGAGGUUUUACGAUGAAGGAAGUUUUGUGCUAAAGAUCCACAUGAGCCCUGGCCAGCUGUUCAGAAAUGGAUAAUCUCGGUGAUGAUGUGAAGAAUUGUAGUGUCCUGACAAAAUUCAGUUACUCAAAGAAGGA